GAGGAAUAUUGGACAAUGGAUGGAAAUCUGAUCCAGCCAUGCCGCGUGCAGGAUGAAGGCCUUCGGGUUGUAAACUGCUUUUGUACGGAACGAAAAAGCUCUCUCUAAUACAGGGGGUGAAUGACGGUACCGUAAGAAUAAGCACCGGCUAACUACGUGCCAGCAGCCGCGGUAAUACGUAGAGUGCAAGCGUUAAUCGGAAUUACUGGGCGUAAAGCGUGCGCAGGCGGUUAUGUAAGACAGAGGUGAAAGCCCCGGGCUCAACCUGGGAACUGCCUUUGUGACUGCAUAGCUGGAGUGCGGCAGAGGGGGAUGGAAUUCCGCGUGUAGCAGUGAAAUGCGUAGAUAUGCGGAGGAACACCGAUGGCGAAGGCAAUCCCCUGGGCCUGCACUGACGCUCAUGCACGAAAGCGUGGGGAGCAAAC
rnacentral:rRNA from 1 species